GCGGGGACCAGACAACUCAAGAAAGUGUGCAAAACAGCUCUUCUUAAAAAGUCCAUCUAUGUUUUCCUUCUUCAUAAUACUCCUAAGUUAGUAAAAUGGUUUCUCUAACUGACAUUUAAGUACAAGAUCACCAAAUACUGCUUUAGGACUAUUCAGCGGCAUCACAACUUGAAAAUUGUCAAUACUAAUAGUUUUGACAGAAUCAUGCUGGAAUUUCGAUAUUAUUUCAUGCCCUAUUGGUGAGGAGGAGUUAUCACUUUACUCGGCUUCAUUUUUC
rnacentral:lncRNA from 1 species